rnacentral:rRNA from 1 species
UGCCUAACACAUGCAAGUCGAACGAGAUUCUUCUGAUUGGUUUACUAAGAAGUUGAAUCUAGUGGCGGACGGGUGAGUAACGCGUGGGCAAUCUGCCCUGUGGAAAGGGAUAGCCUCGGGAAACCGGGAUUAAUACCUUAUGAUAUUAUUGUUACGCAUGUAACAAUAAUCAAAGAUUUAUCGCCACAGGAUGAGCCCGCGUCCCAUUAGCUAGUUGGUGAGAUAAUAGCCCACCAAGGCGACGAUGGGUAGCCGACCUGAGAGGGUGAACGGCCACACUGGGACUGAGACACGGCCCAGACUCCUACGGGAGGCAGCAGUGGGGAAUAUUGCGCAAUGGGGGCAACCCUGACGCAGCAACGCCGCGUGAGUGAAGAAGGUUUUUGGAUCGUAAAACUCUGUCUUUGGGGAAGAAUAAAUGACGGUACCCAAGGAGGAAGCCCCGGCUAACUACGUGCCA